rnacentral:rRNA from 1 species
AUUGAACGCUGGCGGCAGGCCUAACACAUGCAAGUCGAACGAGUGGCGGACGGGUGAGUAAUGUCUGGGACACUGCCCGAUGGAGGGCGCUCACUACUGGAAACGGUAGCUAAUACCGCAUACCAUCGGAUGUGCCCAGAUGGGAUUAGCUAGUUGGUGGGGUAAAGGCUCACCUAGGCGACGAUCCCUAGCUGGUCUGAGAGGAUGACCAGCCACACUGGAACUGAGACACGGUCCAGACUCCUACGGGAGGCAGCAGUGGGGAAUAUUGCACAAUGGGCGCAGUCCUGAGGCAGCCAUGACGCGUGUAUGAAGAAGGCCUUCGGGUUGUAAAGUACUUUCAGCGGGGAGGCGUUACCCGCAGAAGAAGCACCGGCGAACUCCGUGCCAGCAGCCGCGGUAAUUC